rnacentral:tRNA from 2 species
GGAAGCUUGGCAGAGUGGUCGAUUGCACCGGUCUUGAAAACCGGCGAUGGGAAACCAUCCGUGAGUUCGAAUCUCACAGCUUCCG